GAUGAACGCUGGCGGCGUGCCUAAUACAUGCGAGUCGAGCGAACGGACGAGAAGCUUGCUUCUCUGAUGUUAGCGGCGGACGGGUGAGUAACACGUGGAUAACCUACCUAUAAGACUGGGAUAACUUCGGGAAACCGGAGCUAAUACCGGAUAAUAUUUUGAACCACAUGGUUCAAAAGUGAAAGACGGUCUUGCUGUCACUUAUAGAUGGAUCCGCGCUGCAUUAGCUAGUUGGUAAGGUGACGGCUUACCAAGGCAACGAUGCAUAGCCGACCUGAGAGGGUGAUCGGCCACACUGGAACUGAGACACGGUCCAGACUCCUACGGGAGGCAGCAGUAGGGAAUCUUCCGCAAUGGGCGAAAGCCUGACGGAGCAACGCCGCGUGAGUGAUGAAGGUCUUCGGAUCGUAAAACUCUGUUAUUAGGGAAGAACAUAUGUGUAAGUAACUGUGCACAUCUUGACGGUACCUAAUCAGAAAGCCACGGCUAACUACGUG
rnacentral:rRNA from 1 species